AAGUCGUAACAAGGUCUCCGUAGGUGAACCUGCGGAGGGAUCAUUACUGAGUGAGGGUUUCUGACCCGACCUCCAACCCUUUGUGAUUAAAACCUCUGUUGCCUCGGGGGCGACCCGGGCCUCGUGUCUAGGGCCCCCGACGGACCAUUUCAAAACACUGCAUCUCUGCGUCGGAUUGAAUAAAGUAAAUUGAAUUAAAACUUUCAACAACGGAUCUCUUGGUUCUG
rnacentral:misc_RNA from 1 species